AACAAAAUCAUCAUCACUAUCACAACUAAUAUAUGUCCUAAUCAGUCGAGGUUCACUAUGCACAGUUCUCUUCGUUCGAUAUAUUAUACUGUUCUUUGGAGGUGGAUCAACAAAAUCGUCGUCGCUGUCACCGGUAUCAGAGAUUGUAGUUUUUGAAACCACGUUCACUCGUAAUUGAUUUACACUUGUACGCAAAGCACAUUUUCGGCCCGUACUUAAUAACUUGGAGUGCAAUUUUCUGUACAUGCUUUGAAACUCGACCUACAAUAUUUCGGAUCAAUUACACAAUGUUACACUUAGGGGUGUAAACGAGCCGAACACGAACGAGCUGGGGUCAGCUCGUGUUCGGCGAGAUGGCUCGUUAAAGUAUCGAGCCGAAACAUUCACCUCGUGUUUGGCUCGUUUAUUAACGAGCCGAACACGAGCUAGCUCACGAGCUGCCCAACGAAUAAUAAAUUAAAAUGAUUAGUAUAAAUUUAUAUACAAAAUAAAUUUAUCCAAUAUUAUCCAUUAGACUUUGAUCUUUUGAAACUUUACAUAUAAAUGAGUCUUUUUAUAAUAAAGCUCGCAUUUAUAUUUUUAUUUUACUAAAAUUUAAAUAAUAAAAAUAUAUAUUAUAUAUAAUUAUUUAUUUAUAUAUAAAAAUAUAAAUUAAAUAAAUUAUAUAAAUAUAAAAUAUAUGUAUUCGAGCUGUUAUUGAGCCGAACACGAGCGAGCUGACCCCAGCUCGUGUUCGGCUC
rnacentral:lncRNA from 1 species